UACGAAGGGGGCUAGCGUUGUUCGGAAUUACUGGGCGUAAAGCGCGUGUAGGCGGGUCUUUUAAGUCAGGGGUGAAAUGCCAAGGCUCAACCUUGGAACUGCCUUUGAUACUGGAGACCUUGAGUCCGGGAGAGGUGAGUGGAAUUGCGAGUGUAGAGGUGAAAUUCGUAGAUAUUCGCAAGAACACCAGUGGCGAAGGCGGCUCACUGGCCCGGAACUGGACGCUGAGACGCGAAAGCGUGGGGAGCAAACAGGAUUAGAACCCCUG
rnacentral:rRNA from 1 species